rnacentral:lncRNA from 1 species
AAUCGGGCCGCUGUAAGAAUAGUACAAGUCACCAGCAGCUUUCUUCUGAAAUUAGAUGUUAUGAGUUUAUAAGAAAUAUUUUGAUUCUAAAUUGUGGAAAGAUGAAAGGCUGAUAAUUUUGGCAGGAUUUAUACUCAGAACUGAAGGUAUUUGAAUUGAUCACCUGUUGUUCAGUUUAGAACUCACAAGUGAAGACAGCUUAUAUCAAUAGAUUUCCAGUUUUGUGGAAUAUGUUUGAAUUUCACAAUAUUGUAUGAAAAAAAAGGAAACCUAGUUACAAACUAAGAGUUAAUGUUAUGGGAUUAUACAGUUCAGCCAAAGUCAUUUUCUUAAUAAAAAAGAAAAGACUGA